GGCCAAACUGGGAGUUCUCCCUGCGACUCCCUAGAGGAAAAAAUGCACAUGCUCCACCCUCAAUCCCCUGUGUGUCCUCACUCAUGCCCUCCACUGCACCAUCUCCAAUGACCUCGUGAUCACAACAGUUCUCUCCCCUUCGGUCACACUGCCCUACCCCAGCUUCUCCACCCAGCUAUGAGAACAGUCCUGUUGAAAUGUUAAGUGAGAUCAAUUUUAAGUUCUCCUCUGCUCAGACCCUCCAUUGGCUCCCACUGCUCAAAGUAAAAGUUGAAGUCUUUUAUAAUCCUCCAAAGGCCCUACCUGUUCUUUGACCCCACCCCCUGCACCCAGCCUCUCUACCUGCAUCUCCUAUCACUCUUCCCUGUUGACUCCUCUGUUCCCACAGGGACUGCCUUGCUAUUCCUGCAAAAUGCCAGCAAGAUCCUAUUUCAGCACCUUUGAACUGGCUUUUACCUUUACUGGGACCUCUCUUUUCCCAUACUUGCAUGGCUUUCCCAAACUUCCCACCUCCUUCCAGUCUUGUUUCAAAUGUCAUCUCUCAGCGAAGCCGGCUGGGACAAUACUGUUUAAAAUCACCUCUUACCACACUCUUGUCCUUCAACCUGGCUGUUUUCUCUCUAACACUCUGGAAUUUGAGCUGUUAGAGGAGAUGACUGUGUCAGUUUUGUUCGUGGCUGGACCCCCAGGUUUCUAGAGCAAUUCUUGUUGCACAGUAAGAAAAGUAAACUUUUCUUGGGUUGGACUGAUUUAAACGUGGUUCCAAAUUCAGAUUUACAGAAGUGGUUCACAGCGAAAAAUGUGCCCAGGGUCUAUGCUCCAGUCUCUUUCCAUCCCAAACGAUCAACUUUGCGAUUCUGAAUUAUAUUUACACAAAUAUUAUGUCGUUUACUACACUCCCGUUCUUCCUGGUUAACAAACGUAGCAGCCUGUACACAGUCUUCCCUGCUUUCCCUUUUUGGCUCACAGUUCAUUUGGGGCAUCGUGCCUGAUGGUUUCCCCUACGUUUUCCACGGCUGCCUUCGGGUGUUUAUUCCGGCUCUGUUCUCCCCGCCGGUGUCCCUCAGUGGACACCCGCUGCCCUGGAGUCAGUGAAGGGCUCGAACACACCUCUGGCCCUGCCCGACCGGCUUUGCAAGCAUCUGGGCUGUUUUACCGGGCUCGUAGCACACCCACUGCCCAUACUAAUAAGCAGCCAAGGGAAUGUACAGAGAAAGCGCUAACAAAGUGGGGAUGUAGCUCAGUGGUAGAGCGCAUGCUUUGCAUGUAUGAGGCCCCGGGUUCGAUCCCCGGCAUCUCCAACGCUGGGUUGCGGUUUCUUUUUUUCCUUCCGUGCCAAGUUUUCAAAUGGCGAAUGUUCGCAGAGCUCUGCGGGCAAAUCCCGAAUCUGGAGUUCGCCCAGAUUGGAAAGAGCGGCGGCGGCGGCGGCGGCGGCGGGACCCACCCAAGACCCUACCUCUAAACUCCUGAUUAAAAUAUCACAAGGCUUGUUUCUGUGAAGGCUAUCAUGUUUUCUUCAAAACCAUGAUAUCACUGCAAAGCCAUGACACCACUGGAAAGGCCUACUCAAUUAUUUCUUAUUCUGAGAAUUUUCUCCCUUGGACAGAAAGAAUCCAAGUAAAUAUAAGAAAUUAAAUUUAGCCUGCUUCUACCACACUGCAGCAUCCCACAGGCUCCAGACCAACGAGCUGUAGGUGAGGCUGGGUGAAGAGGGCGGCUGGGUGAGACACCUCUGGAGGGACUGAUGGUCCUUUUGACGGUUCGCCAUCGCUGAGGAGAACACAGUGGGAGGAAUGCAGAGUAGACGCCAGGUUCCCUCACCCUCUGUGAAGUGUCUGUGCGUCAGCGGCGUCACCUGGAAACCGGGGACAACAAUGUUACGUACCUCCCGGGGUGGUUAGGCUCCUUUGAGGCGGACCCCUAAAACAGGACCGGACACCAUCAGCACAGAGCGUGCACCUGGCGCGGUAAUUACCACCGCUACGGUCUUCCCUGAGAGUACUUUUCCCUGGCCUGACUUCCACCAUAUAUUUCCAGCUCAUGCCUGCUUGCACUUUUUAAUAUUUCAUGUAUGGUUGCGUGGGCUUCUUGCCUUUUGUUGCCUUUUAACCCGUCACACUCGUUUAAGUUCUUUGAAGGAAUGCUCAAAAGACAUCCACCACCUUCUAAUACCACAGACCUCGAGGCCUGGACUGUAUUGGUUGAAGUGAACGGGUCAAGAAUGAGAAAAGACAAGAGUACGUGCAAAACUAUAAAAAGUAUUCAAACAUAUAUGCACGUACGUUCCAGAGACAGAUGACUGAAGUAAACAAAUUCACUGAAACUGUUCCAGAUAAAGAGGAAAAAAAACCAAUACCUUUCUACUGUUUCCGCCCGGUUUCGAACCGGGGACCUUUCGCGUGUUAGGCGAAUGUGAUAACCACUACACUACGGAAACAGAUGGCAAUACGUGUCUUUCGUGAGUCUAAUAAGACUUAUAGUCAUGGGCACUGCCAGGGUCUCUAUGCAACCCGGCAGGCAGAGUUCUUGGAACCAUUCCACGUGGGCCCCAGUAAUAUUGUCUAACUGCCCAGCUCCACCAAUUAGUAGAUCCGGAAACCAGUCACAUUCAGCAACUCAAAACAAAACAGGGAAUGAAAGAAAGCAGGCGUCGCAGCAAGGAAGGUAAAUGCGGCUUUGGAGGUUUGAGACUAGAUAAUUCUCUCCAUUUUGUCUCUUUCCUCUAGCAAGACAGCUCGAGGGUAAGUUUUCACCCAUUUUGAGCUGGAUUGACACUAACGAUCUAAAGGAUUAAGGAAAUGGUAAACACAUUCAAAGAAUAUGAGCUUUGAAUAUAUUUUGUCAAAAUGUAGAUAUAAAUUAGCCAAAAAUAAAAUUAGUUUUACAUAUGCUUCAGAAAUGAUUGUUUCUUCUAAAUUAGGUGGAAUUAUCUAUUAAAAAUAAAAAGGAUAUUGAAAUAUCAAAUUCUAAGUCAAUGUUAUUUAAAUAAAG